rnacentral:rRNA from 1 species
UACGUAGGGCGCAAGCGUUGUCCGGAAUUAUUGGGCGUAAAGAGCUCGUAGGCGGUUUGUCGCGUCUGCCGUGAAAUUUCGGGGCUCAACCCCGAACUUGCGGUGGGUACGGGCAGACUAGAGUGUGGUAGGGGAGACUGGAAUUCCUGGUGUAGCGGUGAAAUGCGCAGAUAUCAGGAGGAACACCGAUGGCGAAGGCAGGUCUCUGGGCCACUACUGACGCUGAGAAGCGAAAGCAUGGGGAGCGAACAGG